rnacentral:misc_RNA from 1 species
GAUGAAGAACGCAGCGAAAUGCGAUAAGUAAUGUGAAUUGCAGAUUUCAGUGAAUCAUCGAAUCUUUGAACGCACCUUGCGCUCCUUGGUAUUCCGAGGAGCAUGCCUGUUUGAGUGUCAUUAUAACCCCUCAAGCUCAGCUUGGUGUUGGGGCCUGCUGCACUGGCAGCCCUUAAAAUCAGUGGCGGCGCCAUCUGGCUCUAAGCGUAGUAAUUCUUCUCGCUAUGGAGUCCUGGUGGAUGCUUGCCAUCAACCCCCAAUUUUUCUAUGGUUGACCUCGGAUCAGGUAGGGAUACCCGCUGAACUUAAGCAUAUCAAUAAGCGGAGGA